GACGAACGCUGGCGGCGUGCUUAACACAUGCGAGUCGAACGGAAAGGCCUCUUUCGGGGGGUACUCGAGUGGCGAACGGGUGAGUAACACGUGAGUAACCUGCCCUUGACUUUGGGAUAACUUCAGGAAACUGGGGCUAAUACCGGAUAGGAGCUCCUGCUGCAUGGUGGGGGUUGGAAAGUUUCGGCGGUUGGGGAUGGACUCGCGGCUUAUCAGCUUGUUGGUGGGGUAGUGGCUUACCAAGGCUUUGACGGGUAGCCGGCCUGAGAGGUUGACCGGCCACAUUGGGACUGAGAUACGGCCCAGACUCCUACGGGAGGCAGCAGUGGGGAAUAUUGCACAAUGGGUGGAAGCCUGAUGCAGCAACGCCGUGUGCGGGAUGACGGCCUUCGGGUUGUAAACCGCUUUCGCUCAUGACGAAGCUUUGUGUGACGGUAGUGGGUAAAGAAGCACCGGCUAACUACGUG
rnacentral:rRNA from 1 species